rfam:Vibrio hepatarius strain DSM 19134 contig0004, whole genome shotgun sequence.
GCAAUCUCGGAAGUGAUUCGAAAACUACGAUUCUGGGGGAUACGCGUGACGUCAUUCGGGCUGAGUGAACAUCACGUAGGGUAGGUAUCGAUAAGUCCUUUUAUCGAUAGACGGGAUACUGUUGUCGCGUAGCGGCAAGUGAAUGGGAAACCCAACA